rnacentral:lncRNA from 1 species
CCUGUGGGCUGUGUGUAAUCAGGUACAUUUACUAUUCUUUACUAAGCAGCCUGGGACUAGAUCAGCAUAUUUAUGUAAAAACACUAAUACUGGUAUUACUGAAGGCAGCCCACAGCUCAGGCCCCUACAGUUUUUCUAGAAAAUGGAAUAUUUAAUUUGUCCCCAGUAAUACUAUGUUUUUCUUGUCUCCUGGCAGUUUGCACCGAGGCUCUGAAGUACGUGACAUACUGCAAAGAGAACAUCAAAAUCUGCUGUGCCAUAUGAUCAGAUCGCAUUGCAAAAGUGCGUGUUUCUGUCUGCAUAAAAGCGCUCUGGAUCUGGGGGAAGAGUUCAUGACUCUGCUCUUCUGUCUGAUGUUUUCAAGACCUGCAACCUGUCACUGGCGUUUAGGUGGCGAUGCUCGGAGAGACGGCAGGAACGUAACAGCACGAGAAACGGUGCCUGAGUGCUGUGUCCUGGGUGUGUUUUAAACAACAGAACACGUGAAUAAGCACCCUUGAUGUUUGCAUGCUGCUGUUCUGCUGGCUGAAAUCCAUCAGAUGCGGUCCUAGGCACAUAAGACUUUAAACAUUUCAGAAAGGUCACAAAAGCUGACAAGGCACGUCUAUGCUGGUGUCUCGCUCUGUCUCUUUUUUCCCUCUCUGCAGAGGAAUCGUCUUCUGAAAACAGAGCACUUUCCUUCUAAAUCUUUAUUCUUUGGCAGAGCACAAGCGUCCACCCGCCCGCCCACCUCCGUUACAAGGAUGUGUUAUGAGGGAAGGAGUAUGCC